AUUGAACGCUGGCGGUAUGCUUAACACAUGCAAGUCGAACGGUAGCAGGCCUUCGGGCGCUGACGAGUGGCGGACGGGUGAGUAACGCGUAGGAAUCUGCCUCAUAGUGGGGGACAACGUGGGGAAACUCACGCUAAUACCGCAUACGCCCUACGGGGGAAAGCGGGGGCUCUUCGGACCUCGCGCUAUGAGAUGAGCCUGCGUUAGAUUAGCUAGUUGGUAGGGUAAAAGCCUACCAAGUCGACGAUCUAUAGCUGGUCUGAGAGGACGAUCAGCCACACUGGGAAUAAGACACGGCACAGACUCCUGCGGGAGGCAGCGGUGGGGAAUAUUGGACAAUGGGCGCAAGCCUGAUCCAGCAAUACCGCGUGUGUGAAGAAGGCCCUAGGGUUGUAAAGCACUUUCAAUUGGGAGGAAAACCUGCCGGUCAAUACCCGGCAGCUUGACAUUACCUUUAGAAGAAGCACCGGCUAACUCCGUGCCAGCAGCCGCCGUAACAC
rnacentral:rRNA from 1 species